CCUACGGGGGGCAGCAGUGGGGAAUAUUGCACAAUGGGCGAAAGCCUGAUGCAGCAACGCCGCGUGAGCGAUGAAGGCCUUUGGGUCGUAAAGCUCUGUCGGGAAGGAAGAUAAUGACGGUACUUCCCGAGGAAGCCCCGGCUAACUACGUGCCAGCAGCCGCGGUAAUACGUAGGGGGCGAGCGUUAUCCGGAAUUAUUGGGCGUAAAGAGUGCGUAGGUGGUUUCUUAAGCGUGGGGUGAAGGCCAUUGGCUUAACCAGUGUAAGCCUCGCGAACUGGGGAACUUGAGUGCAGGAGAGGAAAGCGGAAUUCCUAGUGUAGCGGUGAAAUGCGUAGAUAUUAGGAGGAACACCAGUGGCGAAGGCGGCUUUCUGGACUGUAACUGACACUGAGGCACGAAAGCGUGGGGAGCAAACAGGAUUAGAUACCCCAGUAGUC
rnacentral:rRNA from 2 species